GGGGGGGGCGCUCAUGUCAGCGAACAACCGCUAUGGUUCUGUUUCGUGUGUGUGUGUGUGUUUUAUUGACAUGCCUCUGCUUCAAAACCCCUGAAGGGACCGCUCCACCGUCGAUAACCCUGCUUCAUAAUGCAUCAGCCGCUCACAAAACUGACCAGAGGUUAUGUGGGUCAUGCCGUGGCGACGCUGGGGGACGUGCACGGAGGGACACUGGCAGACAAAUGGGAGACAGGGAGAGGCUUAACAGAUUGAAGGCCAUCAAGGACAAUACGGAAAAAUGAACAACGACUAUUGUCGGAGGAAAUGCCGCAGGAGACUGACUGAUGGACGAGCAAAACAAGAGACGGGGGGAGAUGAAGCGGAGGAGGAGGACGGGUCGUAUUUCUGUCAUGCGGCGCCGUCCUUUGUUUGCUCAUCACAUGCGGUAUCUCUGCAUGGUCCUUGUAUUCAUGUCAGAGAUAAUUAUAGGAGGACGCCGCCAGUUGCCAGAUCAGUAGAUAGCGGACGGGAGCUGCAUCUAAGCGCGGCGUCUCUUCCCCCUACUGGGUUGCCAGAUUUGCGAAUGUCUUGUAUGACGCUGCAUGAGCUCGCAGCCAUGCCUCACCUUCUGCGUGUCCUCGAAGAAUAGCGUCACUGGGCUUCAGAUUUCUUCACCGUGUUUGUCUUGAAGGUCAAUGCAGUGGAGUUUAAUCAGAUCAGUCUCUCAGAAGAGGGUGAAGAGCAAAACAGACAACUGGAAAGACGUAUAAACAAUUUUCCUGACAGCCGAGGCUUUGAGACGGCAGCACCAGGAGGGAAGAGGAGGACGACGAAGAACCGGAACGUGAAGAACCACCAGCAGCAGCAACUACCACCUCUGAAAAUGCAUUCCAGUUUGCGACAUAUUUAAAAGGAGACCCUGCAAAGCCCUCUGUCGCAAGCAUCCGGCUCGGCUUACAUCACCCGAAAGACUUAUGCUGCGCCGGAUCAGCGUAAAGCCUGACAAGAUGUCCCGGGUGAUUUGCGAGGAGAACCUCUAGAGGUACUAGGAGCUGGCAGAAGGAGAGAUACCCGAGGCCUCUGGGUAAGCCCGCCCUCCCCUCACAAAGUGAUGUAUGUCCCUCUCCAAGGUGCUGAAGUGCGUCCUGCUCCGAGAGCGACCGCAGGUGAAGCCCGUGGCUUCAGCUCCGCUGCGGUUACUCCUCUGCAUUUUUUGCCGACGAAUACUCGCCCGGACUGGAGUCCUCACUCAUAUGAGGUUAAACAGAGGCUGUUUCUGAUGUGUGUCUCAACGGAUACCGUCGUAAUCUCCCUGGGUGUGUGUAUGUGCCGGGGUUUGAGGUGUGGUCACCAGGCCAAGCCCCCCGGUUUGAUUUGGGACUGCUUGCAAGAUCUUUAAUAGUUAACUAUGAAUUAAUUCAUGACAGUAAGUGAAAUGUUUCCACAACACUGUACGAUAUAUGAGGCGUGCAUUUAUCUUUAUUGGAGCCGCAGCAAAACACUAUCUCACAAGUUAUUAAUGUCAGAAAAUUGGAUGUGAGAGUCCGCUGUGAAACGGCUUCAGACAUAAAUUGUUCAAUUAAACAUCACCAGUGAAAUUGGUUGUACAGCAACGCGGGGCCGCAAAAAAAUUGAACGCCGAGAUGAAUAGACAACAAAAGUGACUUAGUAUUCAAAGUCGGUUCCAAGGGAGACUUGCCCAAGCUGUUUGCAGUGAUUUAUGGGGCUGAAUAUGUCUGAUUUGUUCUUGAGUGCACAAACUGCCCUCUCAGUUUAACAGUGAUUUGAAUGCGUCUCGGGGUUCCAACAUGGACGUUAUACGCCAGCACCGGGGAGUUCAGUCAAACACUAUUCCAAAGCCCAUCAAAGGGAGCGUUGAGAUUAUAGUGAUUUAUUUGCUACUCUGAGACAUCAGAGUGUGAGUGUUACAACAUCAAAGAGGCAAACUGCAAUUUCCAUUGGCCAGAACUGUGGCACGCCGUGACAAACGAAAGAAAUAAAAUAAAAUAAAAAACACUCUGUGGAGGUAAGAAAGAAGGUCCAUGAAUCAGAGUAAAAAGGAAUCUUCAGUGUGUUGUGGGAGAACAUCCUUCUAAGAUCCAAGAAGAUCUGGCUUUUAUCUACAAACAGUUUCCUAUAUUCAGGCUGUUUUUGACAGAUGUCUGUUGUACCUCCAGGGGGAUUCUACUGUGUUUGCUGAGUGUUUGAGUUUUUGUCUUUUCAUGCCGUAUCUGUAGGACCCGGGCGGAGGGAGGAAUUCAUCAUCCUAAUGUGCCGCGGAUAAGCGCUUGUUAAAAACCCCACACUGCGUUUUCUCGAUAUUCGUCAUGGUUGUAAGAAUUUUGCCUCAGGUGCCGAAGGCAGCUUGUGAAGCCGGUCAAAGAGCAUCAUUGAAAAGAGAAAAAUCCAGCAAUAUGUGGUGGAUCUCCCAGAUAUGAAAGAGAUGGCUAUUGCUGAAUACCUUGUUUGGAAGAAGGAGAAGUCCAACACAUAUCGUCUAACAACCAGGAAAUACCAUGCAGAGAUUUUUCUUUAAAAAAGAAAAAUAAAACAUUUAUAUUAAAACGUAAUUAAUUGCCAGUGAAAAUAACACCAGUAUUGUGAAGCUACUAUGAGAAUAUGGUUUCAUUCACUUCAUGGUCGGCACCUAAUUGGUCCCCGUAAGGAAGGCCGGUCCCCUCAAUGGGAGUGUGUAAACGGAUUUAUGUCCCCGCAACAUAGGUAAAACAAGCCCUCACACACACACACACACUGUCUGAAUAUGAUUUCUUUUGACUUGUUUAUCACCUUAGUGCCACACACAAACAGAGAGACACACCUAUGUGCAUAAAAAAUGAAAUGAGUUUGCUUGGCUUCUAUGAAUGAUAAUGAUGCCAUUCAACUGUUUGCUUUGCUGAUGGCCCCCCCCCCCUCCCC
ensembl:lncRNA